UACGUAGGGCGCAAGCGUUAUCCGGAAUUAUUGGGCGUAAAGAGCUCGUAGGCGGUUUGUCGCGUCUGCCGUGAAAGUCCGGGGCUCAACUCCGGAUCUGCGGUGGGUACGGGCAGACUAGAGUGAUGUAGGGGAGACUGGAAUUCCUGGUGUAGCGGUGAAAUGCGUAGAUAUCUGGAGGAACACCGGUGGCGAAGGCGGCAUCCUGGACCACGACUGACGCUGAGGAGCGAAAGCCAGGGGAGCAAACGGG
rnacentral:rRNA from 1 species